AUUGAACGCUGGCGGCAUGCCUUACACAUGCAAGUCGAACGGCAGCGGGGGAGAAGCUUGCUUUUCCUGCCGGCGAGUGGCGAACGGGUGAGUAAUACAUCGGAACGUGCCCUGUAGUGGGGGAUAACUAGUCGAAAGAUUAGCUAAUACCGCAUACGACCUGAGGGUGAAAGUGGGGGACCGCAAGGCCUCAUGCUAUAGGAGCGGCCGAUGUCUGAUUAGCUAGUUGGUGGGGUAAAGGCCUACCAAGGCGACGAUCAGUAGCUGGGCUGAGAGGACGAUCAGCCGCACUGGGACUGAGACACGGCCCAGACUCCUACGGGAGGCAGCAGUGGGGAAUUUUGGACAAUGGGCGAAAGCCUGACCCAGCAAUGCCGCGUGUGUGAAGAAGGCCUUCGGGUUGUAAAGCACUUUUGUCCGGAAAGAAAUGGCUCUGGUUAAUACCUGGGGUCGAUGACGGUACCGGAAGAAUAAGGACCGGCUAACUACGUGCCAGCCGCCGCCGUAA
rnacentral:rRNA from 1 species